rnacentral:rRNA from 1 species
AAACUCAUAAAAGGAUAAGGAGCUGGCAUCAGGCACAGAAUCCUUGCCCAUAACGCCUAGUUUCACCACGCCUCCAAAGGUAGUCAGCAGUGAUCAACAUUGUCCAUAGGCGAAAGCCCGAGUCAGUUAAAGAAAAGAGGGUUGGCCAACCCGGUGCCAGCCGCCGCGGCCAUACCGGUGGACUCAAGUUAAUGCCAACCGGCGUAAAGCGUGAUUAAAGAAUUACCAAAUUAGAGUUGAAGUGCGGCUUAGCUGUUGAAAGCUUACCUAAUAGAACCCCAGAAACGAAAGUUACUCUAAUUAACCUCUUGAAUACNCGACAGUUUGGGCCNAACUGGGAUUAGUAGAUACCCCACUAUG